rnacentral:rRNA from 1 species
AACGUAGGACGCAAGCGUUAUCCGGAGUUAUUGGGCGUAAAGCGCUCGCAGGUGGUUCGAUGCGUCGUGCGUGAAAGCCCCCGGCUCAACUGGGGAGUGUCGUGCGAUACGGUCGAACUGGAGGCCAGUAGGGGGAUGCGGAAUUCCGGGUGUAGUGGUGGAAUGCGUAGAGAUCCGGAGGAACACCAGCGGCGAAGGCGGCAUCCUGGACUGGUCCUGACACUCAUGAGCGAAAGCGUGGGGAGCGAUCCGG